UACGAAGGUGGCAAGCGUUGUUCGGAUUUACUGGGCGUAAAGGGAGCGUAGGUGGUUAGGUAAGCCCUCCGGGAAAUCUUCAGGCUUAACCUGAAAAGGUCGGGGGGGGACUGCCUGGCUAGAGGACGGGAGAGGAGCGCGGAAUUCCCGGUGUAGCGGUGAAAUGCGUAGAGAUCGGGAGGAAGGCCGGUGGCGAAGGCGGCGCUCUGGAACGUUUCUGACACUGAGGCUCGAAAGCGUGGGGAGCAAAAGGG
rnacentral:rRNA from 1 species